CAAUAUAAUGGCUUUUAAUUUUUCUCUAAGGUCUAUUCUUGUAUCUUUGUUUAUGGUUGUUAUUUUAAUCUCAGCAAUGAUGAUGGUUCCAUCUGAUGCAGCUCGCUUUCGCGAGAAAAAAGGGUUUAACCAUACCACAAUAAUGUACUGCCCAACUUGUGUUGGGUGUUGCGAACCUCCACCUGCUGGCUUUUGUUGUCAAAAAUGUGGCUGCUAGGCUCUUCCCAAUUUCAAGCUCGCUGGAGACUUUUAACACACACUGUAUUUUGGAGCUUUUGUUCUGCUUUUUAUAUUUCCCAUAAGAGUGAUUGAUGUAUGGUAGACUGAGACUCUAGUGAAUUCAUUAAAAAUGCUAAUAAAAUGAAACGUGGGUCUGUUUCAAUGA